GUGAAGUGAUGAUUACAGAGAACGGUUUCGCUUAUAUGACUGACAUCAAGUGAUGUCAUGUUUCUCUUGGCUAUCUGAUCCA